AUUGAACGCUGGCGGCAGGCUUAACACAUGCAAGUCGAACGGUAGCAGGAAGAAAGCUUGCUUUCUUUGCUGACGAGUGGCGGACGGGUGAGUAAUGCUUGGGAAUCUGGCUUAUGGAGGGGGAUAACUGUGGGAAACUGCAGCUAAUACCGCGUAAUCUCUGAGGAGUAAAGGGUGGGACCUCUUGGCCACCUGCCAUAAGAUGAGCCCAAGUGGGAUUAGGUAGUUGGUGGGGUAAAGGCCUACCAAGCCUGCGAUCUCUAGCUGGUCUGAGAGGAUGACCAGCCACACUGGAACUGAGACACGGUCCAGACUCCUACGGGAGGCAGCAGUGGGGAAUAUUGCGCAAUGGGGGGAACCCUGACGCAGCCAUGCCGCGUGAAUGAAGAAGGCCUUCGGGUUGUAAAGUUCUUUCGGUAAUGAGGAAGGGAUGUUGUUAAAUAGAUGGCAUCAUUGACGUUAAUUACAGAAGAAGCACCGGCUAACUCCGUGCCAGCAGCCGCGGUAAUACGGAGGGUGCGAGCGUUAAUCGGAAUAACUGGGCGUAAAGGGCACGCAGGCGGACUUUUAAGUGAGAUGUGAAAUCCCCGAGCUUAACUUGGGAAUUGCAUUUCAGACUGGGAGUCUAGAGUACUUUAGGGAGGGGUAGAAUUCCACGUGUAGCGGUGAAAUGCGUAGAGAUGUGGAGGAAUACCGAAGGCGAAGGCAGCCCCUUGGGAAUGUACUGACGCUCAUGUGCGAAAGCGUGGGGAGCAAACAGGAUUAGAUACCCUGGUAGUCCACGCUGUAAACGCUGUCGAUUUGGGGAUUGGGCUAUAUGCUUGGUGCCCGAAGCUAACGUGAUAAAUCGACCGCCUGGGGAGUACGGCCGCAAGGUUAAAACUCAAAUGAAUUGACGGGGGCCCGCACAAGCGGUGGAGCAUGUGGUUUAAUUCGAUGCAACGCGAAGAACCUUACCUACUCUUGACAUCCAGAGAAGCUUGCAGAGAUGCGAGUGUGCCUUCGGGAGCUCUGAGACAGGUGCUGCAUGGCUGUCGUCAGCUCGUGUUGUGAAAUGUUGGGUUAAGUCCCGCAACGAGCGC
rnacentral:rRNA from 1 species